AGGGUUCUGGCCUAAAUGAUAAGAAAGAAACACGACGCUAAUGAAGUGAGGGCCUCUGGCAUAGCCUCUGCUAAAUGUGGGUGGUGACAGGAAACACGGCAAUGCUGGACCCUGGAGCACAGUGCCAGUGACCUGUCACUCCCACCGCCCUAAGGUCGGCCCCCACCUAGCCAGGAGUUUAGUCAGUUAAUACCGUUCUUCGUGAACAUUCCAAUGCCAAGAAAAUCUGGGUAAGCAGAACAGUGGCCACCACUGGCUGACUUAGCAGCAAGCAGCAAGGCUGAAGCCCACCCCACUCUGUGGUUUGGAACCAAGGAGGAAAGCCAAGAGAAGUCUUUCCACGGAGCUAGGAGCAGCGGACAGUCAUGCCCACGCCACCCUGCUUGCUGCGCCAGUUGUCUUGUAAUGUCUAACGAUUCUUCUGAUGGCGGGACUGGACACAAGGACACUUGAAUAGACGAAAGGCAGAACUCUUUGUUACUUAACUUAAAGCUCCAGAGGAGAGAAGUCUUCCAGAGGUAGAACUUUACUCUAUCACCUAGGUUGGAGUGCAGUGGCAUCAUCAUAGCUCACUUUAACCUUCAACUCCUAGGCUCCAGUGAUCCUCCUGCUUCAGCCUUCCAAACGGAAUGCAGAAUGGCAGUAUUAUCUUUGGAACAAAUUAAGAAGAUAGUAACAAAUAACAGAAGAAUAACUUCUACACAUAUAUUUUUCAAGGGCAAUAGGUUCCUUCCGUUUACGUUCAGUAUUCCCAGAUUGUCUUCCACUUGAUGGAGAGGCUUGUGCUGGCUGGCUCUGCUUUAAGAAAAAUACACAGGAAGAAAUUACUCUAACUAUUCCAAGUCAAUACGUAUCUCAAUACAUGCUCAUCUCUUCAUCUCUACCACUGAAAGCUAAGCCAUCCUCACCUCUUGCUUGGACUACUGGUUUCCGUUUGGACCUGCACGCGUGCUAUGCAUUCACCACAGAGCAGUCUUUUACAAAGGUAAAGUAAAUCAUGUCACUUCCAUGUUUAAUACUUGGCAUAGCUUCCCUACUGCAAUUAGUAUAAAAUUCAAACUCCUACCCUAACCUUCACAGUUCAGUAUGAUAUGGCUUUCUGAACCAAACUGAAUAAUUAAUGUAUAUGUGGAAUGAUCAGCUAUCUAUUAAAGAAGUGUCAGGAAAAUUUCACAAGUAUAUUAAUGAAUUAAUCUUUAGUUCAAAAGUUUUAGAUAACUGAAUUCACAUUUGAAAAAAAAAACAGGCACUUUAAAUAAUACAUGAGGAAGACAAAACAA